rnacentral:lncRNA from 1 species
UGCAUAACUGUUUGCCGCUUGAGGAACUUGGGUGAUCUGGUAGUGGAAGUGCUUGAGCAAAAGUUGUGUUUGUGCAAGAUAUGCUGCCUUGGAGUUAUCUUUAGCAUCAAAGUUGUUCGUGACUUGGUUAACCACUAAUUGGGAGUUACUGAAGAUAUCAAUUUGUUUAACCUCAAGGUGUUUGGCCAAAUGUAAGCCUGCUAGAAGGGCUUCAUAAUCGGCCU